rnacentral:rRNA from 1 species
UACAGAGGUCUCAAGCGUUGUUCGGAUUCAUUGGGCGUAAAGGGUGCGUAGGUGGCGCCGUAAGUCAGGUGUGAAAUCUCGGGGCUUAACCCCGAAACUGCACUUGAUACUGCGGUGCUCGAGUACUGGAGAGGAGAUUGGAAUUUACGGUGUAGCAGUGAAAUGCGUAGAUAUCGUAAGGAAGACCAGUGGCGAAGGCGGGUCUCUGGACAGUUCCUGACGCUGAGGCACGAAGGUCAGGGGAGCAAACGGG